CAAUAGCGUAUAUUAAAGUUGUUGCAGUUAAAAAGCUCGUAGUUGGAUUUCUGGUUGGAGCGACCGGUCGGGCAUUGAUUUGUCUGCACUGGAGUCGGUUCUGGCCAUCCUCUUGGAAAGUGCGUCUGUCAUUAAGUUGUCGGGCGUAUGAUCCAGGUCUUUUACUGUGAAAAAAUUAGAGUGUUUAAAGCAGGCCUUCGCCUUGAAUACAUUAGCAUGGAAUAAUAAGAUAGGACUUUGGUCUAUUUUGUUGGUUUGCAGGCCGAAGUAAUGAUUAAUAGGGAUAGUUGGGGGUAUUUAUAUUCCAAUGUCAGAGGUGAAAUUCUUAGAUUUUUGGAAGAUAAACUUAUGCGAAAGCAUUUACCAAGGAUGUUUUCAUUAA
rnacentral:rRNA from 1 species